rnacentral:rRNA from 1 species
CACGUAGGGUGCGAGCGUUGUCCGGAAUUAUUGGGCGUAAAGAGCUCGUAGGCGGUGUGUCGCGUCGGCCGUGAAAACCUGCAGCUUAACUGUGGGCUUGCGGUCGAUACGGGCAUCACUGGAGUUCGGCAGGGGAGACUGGAAUUCCUGGUGUAGCGGUGAAAUGCGCAGAUAUCCAUAGGAACUCCGGUGGCGAAGGCGGCACGCUGGACCCGAUCUGACGCUGAGGCGCGAAAGCCAGGGGAGCGAACGGG